GUUCCGGUGGCCUAGUGGUUAGAGCGUCCGUCUCGGAUGCGGGAGAUCGUGCGUUCCAUCCCCUCUCGAGUCA